rnacentral:rRNA from 1 species
UACAGAGGUGGCAAGCGUUGUUCGGAAUUACUGGGCGUAAAGGGCUCGUAGGCGGCCAACUAAGUCGGACGUGAAAUCCCUCGGCUUAACCGGGGAACUGCGUCCGAUACUGGAUGGCUUGAGUAUGGGAGAGGGAUGCGGAAUUCCAGGUGUAGCGGUGAAAUGCGUAGAUAUCUGGAGGAACACCGGUGGCGAAGGCGGCAUCCUGGACCAUUACUGACGCUGAGGAGCGAAAGCCAGGGGAGCAAACGGG